rnacentral:tRNA from 1 species
GGGGUCGUAGCUCAAAUGGUAGAGCGCCCGCUUAGCAUGCGUAGCUAAGCGCCGCAUACAGUGUGCGGGAGGCAGGGGGUUCGAUGCCCUCCGACUCCA